AUUGAACGCUGGCGGCAGGCUUAACACAUGCAAGUCGAGCGGAGUGAUGGUGCUUGCACUAUCACUUAGCGGCGGACGGGUGAGUAAUGCUUAGGAAUCUGCCUAUUAGUGGGGGACAACACCUCGAAAGGGAUGCUAAUACCGCAUACGUCCUACGGGAGAAAGCAGGGGAUCACUUGUGACCUUGCGCUAAUAGAUGAGCCUAAGUCGGAUUAGCUAGUUGGUGGGGUAAAGGCCUACCAAGGCGACGAUCUGUAGCGGGUCUGAGAGGAUGAUCCGCCAAACUGGGACGGGGACACGGCCCAGACUCCUACGGGAGGCAGCAGUGGGGAAUAUUGGACAAUGGGGGGAACCCUGAUCCAGCCAUGCCGCGUGUGUGAAGAAGGCCUUAUGGUUGUAAAGCACUUUAAGCGAGGAGGAGGCUCUUUUGGUUAAUACCCAAGAUGAGUGGACGUUACUCGCAGAAUAAGCACCGGCUAACUCUGUGCCAGCAGCCGCAGUAA
rnacentral:rRNA from 1 species